GCUGACUUGCAUUUAAAUAGCCAAUUGUCAUAGGUCCUGAUGUCUAUAAAGACAUUAAAAGUCCCUAUUUCCAUGGUCAUCCAUUACACAUAGUAUCAUGGAGUAGAAUGUUUCCUAGACAUAAUCUAGUUUAGUAACGUUUAAUCUUGUUUGAGCCUCAUAUCCCUUUGGAAAUUUAAGGAAAGCUACAGACCCACCCCUGGAAAACUGGUGAUGCGUACAAUAUUG
rnacentral:lncRNA from 1 species